rnacentral:rRNA from 1 species
UACGAAGGGGGCUAGCGUUGCUCGGAAUUACUGGGCGUAAAGGGCGCGUAGGCGGAUAGUUUAGUCAGAGGUGAAAGCCCAGGGCUCAACCUUGGAAUUGCCUUUGAUACUGGCUAUCUUGAGUUCGGGAGAGGUGAGUGGAACUCCGAGUGUAGAGGUGAAAUUCGUAGAUAUUCGGAAGAACACCAGUGGCGAAGGCGGCGACCUGGUCCAUUACUGACGCUGAGGCGCGAAAGCGUGGGGAGCAAACAGG